CGAAAAGUUAUGUAAGGGCGUAUGGGGGAUGCCUAGGCUCUCAGAGGCGAAGAAGGACGUGAUAAGCUGCGAAAAGUUGCGGGGAUUGGCACAUACGAGUUGAUCCGCAAAUAUCCGAAUGGGGCAACCCAGUACAUUGAAGAUGUACUACACCGAUUGGUGGGCAAACCUGCUGAACUGAAACAUCUUAGUAGGCAGAGGAGAAGAAAACAAAAGUGAUUCCCAGAGUAGUGGCGAGCGAAAUGGGAGCAGCCCAAACCCAUAUUGUUACGGCAAUAUGGGGGUAGUAGGACCCAGAUAUAGGUUGUAAAGCUGGAUUAGAAGUGUUUGGAAAGACACACCAUAGAGAGUGAAAGUCUCGUAUAGGCACAGUUUUAUAAAUCUUAUGGGUAUCCUGAGUAGGUCGGGGCACGUGGAACCUUGACUGAAUCCGCCGGGACCAUCCGGUAAGGCUAAAUACUCCUGAGAGACCGAUAGUGAACCAGUACCGUGAGGGAAAGGUGAAAAGAACCGUGAAUAACGGAGUGAAAUAGACCCUGAAACCAUACGCUUACAAGCGGUCGGAGCAGCAUUAGCUGUGACGGCGUGCCUUUUGCAUAAUGAGCCUACGAGUUACUGUUACCAGCGAGGAUAAGUAUUUCAGAUACGAAUCCGUAGCGAAAGCGAGUCUGAAUAGGGCGGGAAAUAGUUGGUAGUAGUAGACGCGAAACCUGGUGAUCUACCCUUGGGCAGGUUGAAGCGCUGGUAACACAGCGUGGAGGACCGAACUGGUUGUCGUUGAAAAGACUUCGGAUGACCUGAGGGUAGGGGUGAAAGGCCAAUCAAACUGGGAAAUAGCUCGUACUCCCCGAAAUGCAUUUAGGUGCAGCGUUGAUGCGAGUUUAAUAGAGGUAGAGCUACUGAUUGGAUGCGGGGGUUUCAUCGCCUACCAAUUCCUGACAAACUCCGAAUGCUAUUAAAUGCUCAUCAGCAGUGAGGGUAUGGGUGCUAAGGUCCAUAUCCUAAAGGGAAAGAACCCGGACCAUCAGCUAAGGUCCCCAAAUAUAUGCUAAGUUGACCAAACGCGGUCUGACUGCACUGACAGCUAGGAUGUUGGCUUGGAAGCAGCCAUACAUUUAAAGAGUGCGUAACAGCUCACUAGUCGAGCGGUUGGGCAUGGAUAAUAAACGGGCAUAAGCAUAUUACCGAAGCUAUGGGGUUAUUACUUAAGUAAUAUACCGGUAGGGGAGCAUUCUAUUGGCGUUGAAGCUAAAGGCGUGAGCCAUAGUGGAGCCUGAUAGAAAAGAAAAUGUAGGCAUAAGUAACGAUAAGGCAGGCGAGAAACCUGCCCGCCGAAAGAUCAAGGUUUCCUCAGCUAUGCUAAUCAGCUGAGGGUUAGUCGGGGACUAACGCGAACCCGAGUAGGGGUAGUGGAUGUACAACGGGUUAAUAUUCCCGUACCAUUAGUCUGUUAAAAGUGACGGAAUGAGAUAACUACCGCGUACUGACGGAAUAGUACGUUUAAGGAGUUGUUAUGACUUCGAAAGUACGCUGAGGCUUCGGCCGAGGUGAGUGUGGUGACAACGUUUCCAAGAAAAGCGAAGGCUAAUGCCCGUACCGUAAACCGACACAGGUGAUUGGGAUGAGAAUUCUAAGGCGCUCGAGAGAUUCAUGGCUAAGGAACUAGGCAAAAUAGACCUGUAACUUAGGGAGAAAGGUCGCCUAUCAUUAGAUAGGCCGCAGUGAAAAGGUCCAAGCGACUGUUUAUCAAAAACACAGGACUCUGCAAAAUCGAAAGAUGAAGUAUAGGGUCUGACACCUGCCCGGUGCUGGAAGGUUAAGAGGAGAGCUUAGUGGUAACACGAAGGUUUGAAUUGAAGCCCCAGUAAACGGCGGCCGUAACUAUAACGGUCCUAAGGUAGCGAAAUUCCUUGUCGGGUAAGUUCCGACCUGCACGAAUGGUGUAACGAUUUGGACACUGUCUCGGCCAUGAGCUCGGUGAAAUUGUAGUAUCGGUGAAGAUGCCGAUUACCCGCAGUGGGACGAAAAGACCCUGUGCACCUUUACUAUAUCUUCGUAUUGGUCUUGGAUAAGUGAUGCGUAGGAUAGGUGGGAGACUUAGAAGCGGCUAUUCCGGUAGUUGUGGAGUCAUUGUUGAAAUACCACCCUUUGCUUAUCUGAGGUCUAACUUUGCACAAGGCAAAGGACAAUUCGUGGAGGGUAGUUUGACUGGGGUGGUCGCCUCCAAAAGCGUAACGGAGGCUUCUAAAGGUUCCCUCAGCACGCUUGGUAACCGUGCGUAGAGUGCAAUGGCAUAAGGGAGCUUGACUGAGAGACUUACAAGUCGAUCAGGUACGAAAGUAGAGCAUAGUGAUCCGGUGGUUCCGUAUGGAAGGGCCAUCGCUCAAAGGAUAAAAGGUACGCCGGGGAUAACAGGCUGAUCUCCCCCAAGAGCUCACAUCGACGGGGGGGUUUGGCACCUCGAUGUCGGCUCGUCACAUCCUGGGGCUGGAGAAGGUCCCAAGGGUUGGGCUGUUCGCCCAUUAAAGUGGCACGCGAGCUGGGUUCAGAACGUCGUGAGACAGUUCGGUCUCUAUCUACUGUGGGCGUUAGAAAUUUGCGUGGAUCUGACUCUAGUACGAGAGGACCGAGUUGGACGCACCGCUGGUGUAUCUGUUGUCUUGCCAAGGGCAUAGCAGAGUAGCUAAGUGCGGAUGGGAUAAGUGCUGAAAGCAUAUAAGUACGAAACCCGCCACAAGAUGAGAUUUCUUUUAAGGGUCGUGGGAGAUGACCACGUUGAUAGGUUACAGGUGUAACGGUGGUAACAUCAUAGCCGAGUAAUACUAAUAACCCGUAGACUUUUCGCGCAG
rnacentral:rRNA from 1 species